rnacentral:lncRNA from 1 species
AACUAGAUAAGGAUAAUGACUGAAACCCUAUCUCUACACCUAUAUAAACACCCCUUGGCUCAUGAAUUCGUGCAUCCCUUCCCAAGAAGUCUUAGAGACGAAUGCUAACCUCUCUCCUCUCUCUUUAUACCUUCUCCACUUGCUUAUGGUGUUUGUAAGCCAUUAGAGGAGUGACACUUGUGACUCUCAGCUUUCCAAGGUCAAUUCAAGGAGGAAUUGGAUUGUUAUUGCUAUAUAACAAUCAAGGUAUGUUCUUAAACCUAAUUACAUGUGAAUUCUGAUUUCCAUAUGCUAGAAUUAGGGUUCAAAGUCUUGGAUUCAAAGUAUGUACAAUAGAGAAACCUAGAUCCAAGCUUUAGGGUUUGUAUGAGCACAUAGGAUGUCUUAUGACCAAAACCCAUCAGUGGUAUCAGAGCCAUGAUUGGUUUCUAUUGUAUUGAUGCUUGAUGUAACUGAAAAUCGUGUUUUGGCCUCACUGUUCGACCUGACUCGGCGAGUCACUCUUGGACUCGGCGAGUCAGCCUUACUCGGCGAGUUCCAGAGGGUGACUCGGCGAGUCGGUGCGUCAGACAGUGCUUAUCUCGGGAUUUCUUGCUGUUUUUGCAUUGGGAUAAUUACCUUAUCAUGUUAGAUUAAUAUUAAUCCGAUUAUAUGAUAUAUUUGACUAUAUUUUUAAUCUAAUUGAAGAUAUUUAUCAAUUAAUAAGAUAAUUGUUUCCUUAUAAGAUAAUUGAUUAAUUAUUUUAAGUAAAUUGAUAAAUUGUUUUGCAAGAAAUCAUCAAAUAUGGAUAAUUAUGUGAUUAAAUGUUAAUUUGAAUUAUUUGUUAUUUGAUCCUUGUUGUUGUGAAAAGUUUCAUAUUUGGCCCUUUAGGUUUUAUAGUUUAAAUUUGAACCCCAAAAGUUUUGUUGUUUUGAAAUUUAAAUAGUUGAAACCCUAAUGUUUUGAAAAAGGUUUCAAAACUUGCCCUCAAGUUUUGGAAUUUAAAUUUUGAUUAAAUAGUUUAAUUUUGAUGCAUAUUUAAAUUCUAAACCCUAAUGUGUUGAAAUGUUUCAAAACUUGCCCUCAAGUUUUGGAAUUUAAAAGUUGAUUAAAAGUUUAAUUAGGAAUGUUAAAUUCUAAAACUCUAGUAUAGUUUUGAAAAAGUUCAAAUCACACCCUUAUGGUUUUAUUAAUUAAUUAAGGUGUAUAAUUAAAAGAAGUUUAAUAAAUCCAUAAAAGUUUAGGUUUACAAUUUAAUUGAAUUAAAAGUAUAAUUGUUAAAUUAGACCACCUAGUAUUUUGAAAGUAUAAAAUACACCCUAUACUAUAUAUAACAUUAAAAGUCUAACAUUAUAUAUAUGUAUGAGUAAAAGUCAGUCUUACCGUUAGUAGGCCUCAUUCACGAAGCUGGUCUAUAAGGGGUGUUUAAGGAAAUUGCCUAUAAAAUGGCGAUUGAAUGGGUAUCCACUCUUACCCACCGCACUCUUGACUAGUGGAGGGUCGUUAGCCGAACGGGUAGGAUAGGACGAAACCUUCCAUUAUAAGUAUAAUGAAUUAUUAAAGUAACUAAAUGUUUUCAUAAAAUUCCCAAUCUUAGUUACUUAGGCAAAAGUGAAUUGAUGCAAUUCCAUGAAAUUACACUUUGUGCCCUUGCGAAGACGUUAGUGGAGCGUGUGUGGUUUACCGGCACACUAAAUGGUUCUAAGCAAAGGUAGCAAAGGGUGACUCAAUGUUUGUCAUAGUUCGGUGGAGCGUGUGUGGUUUACCGGCACAUCGAAUAGGUGACUGUAACAUGUGAGGGCACCAUGUAAGUUUGCAUGGUUAUUCACACCCGCUUUGUGAUCCUCGGCAUCCCAGUCACAAACAAGAGGGGCAUAUCGAGAUUUAAACAUGCCAUUGAAAGUUCAAUGAAUCUCAAAGGAUCUAGGAGUUUUCAUAGAUUUAAAACUUAAAUUUCUUUUUCGUUUUUCAUGGUGGAAAUUAGUGAAUCGUCAUUCACUUACCUUCAAAUAUUCUGCAAUUAGGGUUACGGCAUCCCUCUCCCGAGUUGUAGAAUAUUGUGUUGGGUCCUAGCCUUAGUAUCUCAUUUGGGUGAUUUACUAAGGACUCAAUCAAUCAACUAACUUGAAUUCGUUUUCUCCCGUUUUGUAGAUGUCAAAGUUCGACAACUAUGGUCUUCCCAAAUCCCGUGGAACAAGCAUUCCACAUGAAGAUGAUAUUCCACGAUUCGAUCGAGGAACAAGAAAUCAUGCUUCACUUCCUCCUCCUCCUCCAAUUAUUCUCCCUAACCCACAAGUUCAAAGGCUUGAAAAGUUCAAGAUCACUCAAGCCCUUUUGGCAAGUAAACAUAAAGAAGGAAAGUCGGUGUGUGCACACGUCCUAGGGAUGAAGUCACACAUUGAUAGGUUAAGAAUGUUGGGAUCCGUUGUCUGUGAGGAAAUGGCUGUUGAUUGGGUUCUUCAGUCACUUCCUAACUCAUAUAGUGAGUUCGUAAGAGAGUACUAUAUGAUGAACCGCGACGUGACCCUUAUAGAUCUCACCUAUAUGCUUAUUGCUGCUGAAUCAGCAAUGGUUUGGCGCAAUAGAAAAGCAAAGUUGAUUGGUGAAUCUGCCUUCAAGACCUCUAUGGAUAUAGACAAUGGCAACGAAAGACAUGCUAUGAUCGAAAAGUUUGAUCAUAAGAGAAAGGCAAUGUCUGAAGUAGUUCCAUGUCAUGUUCCAAAAGAGUCAAUUUGCUUUUAUUGCCAAGAGAAAGGGCAUUGGAGACGAAGCUGCCCCAUUUACCUAAGAGAUCUAAGAGAUGGGAGAGUCGAAACGUAUGGCUCUAAUAUAGGUAAAAUCCAUUAACUAACUCUUUUAAGCUUCUAUUCUAGAUUCUUAAUACAUAAUGUGAUAAGAUUACAAUUGAUGUUUUGUAGGAUCGAAGAAAAGAAAGGAAGCUUAAGGGAAGAAGUGAGCAGAAUCUAACCGUGAAGGAAUGGAUUUCGAUCGCAUUUCUCGAAGAUUAGAUUCUUGAGCUACUACUUAGAGUUAGAAUUAGAUUGCUAAGAAAGAUGUAUUAGCAUAGUUUUUCAAUGAAUUGCAUUGUAAGGACAAAUUUUUCCGCAAUAAAAUAAAUUUUGAUUUUAUAUUAUUUAUUUAUCCUUGCAAUGGCGUAUAUGAAAAAUUGAUGUUUGAAUGUUUCUAUUAUUAGCAAUAAUGGAUUUGGUUCUUAUUAUGUUAUUUAUGGAAAGUCGAGAAUUUACCAAAUAGGGAGAGUUUCUCAUCGCCCAAGUUUCAAUUGGACAGAAACUUGGAAUCAUGCAACUUGGUUGCACGAUGAAUGAGAAAUUUCAUAUUUGGAAAUUAGACUAAUUCAUUGACAAAGUGUCAAGUGAAGGACUAGGAGAUCGAGUACACAAAGUUGCGUGUUGAUCAAGUCCACCAUAAGAGUAACAAAGAUAUUCGUCAUGAUUUACUAAAGGUUUAGUAAAUAUGAUUAUACUUACAAGAUUAAGUGUAAUUCUGAAUUGAUUAAAGGGUUUAGAUCAAUAGCAGAACGAAUAAGAAGAAUCAAGUAGGCAGAAAGAUAAAAGUUUCUCCAUUCUAAGAAGAAGGGAGAGUACCUUUUAUGCUUUAUGAUAGGUCUUAAUGAUUAAGAACCAUAUCUCAAUUGAUCCUCUAAGUGAGUCUUAGUACAAUUGUAUGUCUAAGAAGAGGAAUCAAGAAUUGAAGAAAUGGUUAAAUCAAGAAGUCAAUCAUACUUCGUUCCAAAACAAGUCUUAGAGUUAAGAUUGUGACAUUGAGUGAUAAGUAUUAAGAAGGUUUAUAACAUUCAUCAAAUGUGGAAAGUUGUGAUGUCUUGGAUAAGACAAAGACCAACUAGGACCAAUUUAUGAAGUGUUUUGAUAAAAGCUACACUAACUCUUGAAUAUUUGUUUGUCAAGAAAUGGUUAUUGACAAGAGAAUCUUAUAUGUCAAGGAGUCAGUGGGAGUCUUAAUGGUCUUGAAAGGUUUCAAGAACAAAUCAAAUAAACCUUAUCGAUCAUCACUAGCACACGAGUUGAGGUUUACAACCUAUCGUGUUGACAUUAUUUUGUUUCUGUGCCAAUCCAAUCGAGUUAAUUAUGCAUGUGAGUUCUAUGAGUUCUCAUUUUGAACGCAUAAAAGGCAAAGCACCUUAAUCAAUGAAAGGUACAUUGAUAGGAAAGGGUGAGCUGCUUAACUACUUGGAAGACAUGGUGGGCAGCUGUGCUACCAUAAGGCAAGAAAUCAAGAUUAAGAAAGUUCGGUCCAUAUGAGUUUGAAUUUGUCGUAAACUUUGGUUUUAACAAAUUCACAUGGAUAGGAACACAUACACCGUUUAAAUCUAAGUGUCAUAAGAUUUCCUCCUUCAUGAAAAUGAUUGUGAGGAAAUGCUUUCACUAAGAAAGAUUUUAAGAAGAUAGUGAUUGUAAAAUUGCAUUCUCGAAUUCGAUUAUGGUUACGGUAUCCCUUUCCAUAAUUUGAAUUGUGAGGUUUGGCAAUUAGUCUUAAUUGUUUAGACACACAUAUGAACUAUCGAAGGCAAAGGUGUAUAAGUUCAAGAAGCCUUGAUAAAAGAUUAUCAAAGCACUAAGUAUUAGAAACAUGAACUUAAGAAAUUCAAUAAGCAUUGUUUUUCUGAAAGUUAAGAUGUUUAUGAAUACAUGUCGAAGCUAGUGGGAGCAUAAGUGUUAUGUUUUAUAAUAAUCAUCAUGAUAGUGGGAGCAUAAAUGUUAUGAUUGUAUGAUUAUUAAGGCACGUAUUGCAAGUUGGCAAUAUUAAUUAUAGAAAACAAGAGUUAUACCUUGCAAAGUCGUAAGGGUUGUAAAGUUGUUUUGCUAUAAUUAAGGGAGAGAAUAUUAUGCUUCAUUUCAAAUCUAAAGGAUUAGGUUGAGAAAUGUUAAUAAAUUUAGUCAAAGGUACAUAGUGUGUUCUUAAAAUUUCGAUUAUGAUUACGGCAUCCCUCUUCACAAUUCGAAUUUUGAGAACAUAGCAAAUAAAACAUUAUGCGUCGUGUCCCAUACGCUUCGGGUAUAGGAUCGAUUGCAAAUGCUUUAAUGUUUGACCAUUCUAAAAUUUUCCAAAUGUCGAGCGCAUUUAGAGGGAAAAGGGACUAGAAUUGGUUUUGACUAAAAUAAUUAAACAACUAUCAAAGGACAAUCCAAAGUUCGACGAGGAUUGGUCGCUUGUGAGUAGUUGGAAGUAUAGUAUUGGAAAAUAUGGAAAUGUUUCCAUAUUGGAUGGACCAUAUCGACAUCAUUACGAAUAGAUAAGAUUCUAUUAAGAAUGAGUUGUCAUAUGGAACAUAUGGAAGUGUGUCCAUAUUGGGAAUUGAAUAUUGAGAAAUCUAUGACUAGAUUAGAAACUUCUAUGCAAAAGGAUGUUCAAAGAAUGUACUUUGAGUGAGAGACAUCACGUCUAUGGAAUUGUCUUGUAACAAUCUCCGAUAGAGGACUUUGUAAUAUCAUUGGCAAUAGUCUUUGUGACUUUGGUGCAGUGACAUUACGAAAGGAUAGUUGCAUAGAAUGUUAGAAUCUAGCAUAUUCUAUAAGUAGCAAGAAUUUGAUAUUCUUUCACUUAUGAAAAAGGGAUUUGGAGUUGUGAAAUGAGAAGGAUUGGAAAUGUGUUCAAUGUGAUCUAUUUCACAAAGUAAGAACCAUAGGUAAACAUUGUGUGCAUGCUAGGAGCAUGGGACAAGUGUUGGAAUUCAAGUAAGAAGUUGAUUACCCGAAACGACAAAUAAUGAGUAAUCAAUAUGGUGAUAAAUAAAAGGUGUUUUAUUUAUACUCAAAGGUUUGAGGCCAUAUGGGAUUAGUAUUAUUCUUGUGUUUCACAUUUGCAUGUUUUGACUUCCAGAAUAAUUGAGUUUAUUAAGAAUAAUCGAAUUAUUCAAACGGGCCACAGUCGUUCAUAUGUUGGAAGUAGAUAUGAAUGAAGACUGUCGUGAAUUGGUGUGUGGAUUGUCUAAAAGAGUAUUAGACAUAAGCAAAUGUUUGCUGCAACGUUCAUGAGUGCUUAUGAAUAUGAUUUGAGCAUUGGAUUAAACCCACGCUCACUUGGAUCACUCCAUGAAUUGUAUCACGAGUGAUUGGUGAGACGAUAACAUCUUAUAUUCUUGAAACCGAGAUGUGUGAGUUGUAUCUUGCAAAUCGGUUGCACAUUGAUAAUAUGUAAACGCACUAGUAACUUGGUGUUAUAAAACAUAUUGUUGUGUGUGAUUCGGUGAGUGAGUGCAAGCAAGCAUUGUAUCAAAGUUUAUCCGUUCCUUUUAUCCAAAGUAGGAUAAAAGCGAUAUCUUUGGGCCCCUCGAUGAUUUAGUGAUGACAAACGUAAAUGCUCGGCCGGGCUAGGGCUAAUUUGAUUUGUUCAAUUAGUCAGUCGUCAUAAAUCGGAAAUCGAGAUAUAGUACAAAGAGAAUGAUUUGAAAUCAUAUCUCAUAUGAUAUCUAGAAUGGAGGAAUAUAUGAUCCCUUAUCUAAGGACACGCGUAUCUGAUAUGAUCAGAGUUGACAGCGGCUUUGGAAAGCUACGAUUGCAGAUCGGGAUCCGAAGUCAUACGCAGAAUAGUUGUUAGACUUAUCCAAGUGGGAGACUGUUGGAUUAGUGUCUAAGUCCAUAACUAUUUUGGUAUGUACUUGACCCGAUGGUGCAUGGUCCUUUUGGGUUGCCUUCACCAAAGCAACUUGAUUGGAGAAAUAAAUAGAGAGAGAGGUUAUUAUGAUUUAUUAAUAUGUUAUAAGAAUAAUAUAUUAAAGGAGAAAUCAUAUUUGUUUAAUUAAUAUUGGUCAAUAAUUAAUUAAGAAUUAGUUUUGUGAUCAAAUGUAAUUAAUUAAACUAGAGGGGCUGAAUUGUAAUUAUGUGAUAGUUACAAAAUAAGGUAAGAGUUAUCUUAUUGAUAGGUUGGACGAAUUUAAGGAUAAAGAGCCUUAGAAUUCGAGUAUGAUAAGGAUUCAAGGAUUAUCUUAUGGGUUGCUUAAUGGAUAAGCAACUAGAUAACGAUAAUGACUGAAACCCUAUCUCUACACCUAUAUAAACACCCCUUGGCUCAUGAAUUCGUGCAUCCCUUCCCAAGAAGUCUUAGAGACGAAUUCUAACCUCUCUCCUCUCUCUUUAUACCUUCUCCACUUGCUUAUGGUGUUUGUAAGCCAUUAGAGGAGUGACACUUGUGACUCUCAGCUUUCCAAGGUCAAUUCAAGGAGGAAUUGGAUUGUUAUUACUACAUAACAAUCAAGGUAAUAUCUUAAACCUAAUUAUAUGUUAAUAUUGAUUUCCAUAUGCUAGAAUUAGGGUUUAUAGUCUUGGAUUCAAAGUAUGUGCAAUAGAGAAACCUAGAUCCAAGCUUUAGGGUUUGUAUGAGCACAUAGGAUGUCUUAUAACCAAAACCCAU